ensembl:lncRNA
UUUUUUUUUUUUUUUUGCUCAGUUUCAACUUAAAAAAAAUCGUGUUAUUGUUUUCACUUAUUAUAGACGAGUAUCUAACCCUUUAAGCAGUUUUUAAUGAAUGUUUUACUGUUAUGAUUGUGCGAAGCCGGACCAAAUAAGUAUUUUUUUUUUCCGUUAAAAAUAGUCAAACGGAUUAUAUGUUCAUGAGAAGCCAAAACUCUUUCGGAACUGUAAGGUCUUAGUCGCACAGGAAAGCUAAUUUUAAACUCUUUUGUUUUAAAGAUAAAAUAAUACAGUAACUUUGUCUUGAAGAACGCGUUCCAAAUAUUGUUCUUAUAAAGUUAGUGUUUUUGUUACUGUUACUAUUUGUUUCACAUGUAAUUAUUGCACAUAUAUAUAUGUAUUUCAGAGAGUGUGUGUCUGUCUGUCUGUCCGUAUGUCUGUGUGUGGAAGCUCCACCUUUGAAAGGCACUGAUUGGUCAUGUAAAUAACAUUUCUCCAUCUCUCCUUCUCCUAUCUAUAUGCACUCAUCUACUGUAUGGAUAAUUAAAUCAUCAAUCAGGGGCGGGGGGGGAGGGGGAGGGCGGACUGUUUGAUGCCUUUGUUCAAAGCCAAUCGGCUUCCAGGGGACCGACGAGCACGGAGCACGAGAAAAGAUGUUCAACAUCUGGAAGUGAGCAUUUUCCCAAAGACUCCAGAUUAUUAACCAAUUCUGAGCCCUGCUCCCUGAGGGCACUUUUAGGGUGUAAUAUUUCAAGGCCAAGUCAGUUAUUAUUAUUAUUAUUAUUAUUAUUAUUAUUAUUAUUAUUAUUAUUAUUAUUAUUAUUGGUAUUUCAUCUCUGUGUUUGUCCGUUAUAUCUGCAUCGAUGUUAAAUUCAAGUGUUAAGAAACCCAAAUCUUCAAGACAGUUACAUGUUCUGCUGUCAUAAUCUAUUUGUUGUUAAAAUGUUCUAAAAUGCGACAAAUGAUUUUAUUCUUCUUCUUCUUAUUAUUAUUAUUAUUAUUAUUAUUAUUAUUAUUGUUAUUGUUGUUGUUGUUGUUGUUAUUGUUGCUGUUGUUGUUGUUGUUGUUAUCGUCAACAAUAAUAAUAACAACUUCCAGGCACACCGGUGGCAUUUUCAAAGGCAGGUGCAUUGCUUACCGCAACUUUCUAGCACGGCAUUAUUAUCAGGAGUGGGAUUCGAACUGAGGACCUGCAGACUAGGAGGGGAAAGUGCCAACCACUACGCCGCCUGCUGGGGAGUUUGAACAAAGCUGGAUGUUGCGGGUCCUUGGACUGCUCUGGACACAUUACUCAUUCACUUUGGGUCCGCUGCUCAGUCGUCCCAUGAGCGUUUCAUAAUGCACUAAAAAAGAUAAAACAGCAUAUUUCACAAGUCAGGAAGAUUAAUUUACAGUUGUAUGCACAAACAGCAAUACAAAUGCAAAUGCUUACAUUUUUAAUUAAAGUCACCACCUCCGUGCUGCUGUGGAAGAAAACGAAUACAUAUUGAAAAACCCAGUAAAUACUUUUUUUUUUUUUUGUUUUUUUUUUUUUUUUUAACCAAAAAUAUUAUUGGGUUUCAUUUUUAUUCUAGGUGUAAAAUAAUAUAGAUGGCUGAACAAUAACACUGUGAAACUGUAAUGUAUUAUUAACAUUGCAACGGUGCAUGUGUACAAAUAAACCUAUGUCCACAUGAAGCA